GCCCUGUGGUGCUCAGAACACGGUGUUCCUGAGCGUUAGGUGCUGAGGGUUAUGACUGCAAGCUAGAAGUCCACGGACUGAUAAAGAUAAAGCUCUACUUCCUGUAGACAUGGGAGCUUCAGUCCUCCUGGGCGUCUCUUCACGGGGACUCUAUCCCGCUGGCUCCAUUGUGGCAUCCUGACCUUCAUUCUGUAUCAGGGAGUAUGCUUAAGAUCAAGGCUUACUGGAUGCCUGUGGACCCUUUCCUGAUGACCAAUGAACUUCAGAGGGGCCUGGAGCCAUCUACCCUGACCUCGACAAGGAGUUUCCAACAACUGUGCAAAGCCCAGAAAGAUAAGAGGAGGACAUUUUGGUGUCUUCAUUGAUCGGAUCAGGCAAUCGAAGGGACGGCUGGCUUGUCAUGUACAGGAAGCUUCUAGACAAAGCUGAGUUCAGUCUCGCCAGCAGCCUGCCUUCUCAGCCCUUCCCAUCUGGGGCUCUGAAAUCCGCUGGGGCUUUCAGCAAACGCCCUAAGCUGCUUCUAUGGAGGACUCACCCUCACCAUUCCUGGGGUGAGUUCAUCUCUGUGUGACCCAUCCUCACCAUUCCUGGGGUGACAUCGUCUAUGUGUGAUACAUCCUUACCGUUCCUGGGGUAACCUCAUCCACGUGAGAUCCAACCUCACCAUUCCUGGGGUAACCUCAUCUAUAUGUGAUUCACCCUCACCAUUCCUGGGAUGACCUCAUCUGUGAGAGACUCAUCCUUAGCGUUCCAGGACUGAUUUCUGAAUGAAAAG